rnacentral:hammerhead_ribozyme from 1 species
UGACGAGUCCCAAAUAGGACGAAACGCGCGUU